GGAGACGGCACGGCCGCAUGGCACCGCCGCCAUGAAUCAAGCCGCCACGCGCGGCCGGUCUACCUCUCCAGCUACCCUCCAGCAGCGCGGCCAUUGCCCUGUUCUUCCCCUCCUCGCCCGCCCCUUCUUCGCCUCCUCACCUGCCCCAACUCCUCACCCCCAGCCUCCUCCACCUCGAGGAGGACAACUCCGAUUUGGACCUCAAGUACUGCCUCCCCGACACCUCCAUCCCCAAGUACAUCCUCCCGUCAGACGAGGACGAGAUUUGGAUUGAGGCACAACAGAGAUGAGGAAGGACAAAGCAUGAAUAGCUCCAGUGAGAGUGAAUGGAUAUGAACACCAGAACCCUCUCAGAGGAUGUUGGCUGAUCGGGAUACCCAAUUCUCAAACAAGCAUGCUGAGAUGCUCAAGAUAUGGAAGUUCGCCCACAAGCUCAACCACCAGGUGAACACAUGUCAAAGGUGCAUACGGACAUGAUGAAGCCGUGAAUUGUCGCACAGGUCACUGACCUUCUUGGGUUCGAAAAACUACCUAACUGCUAUUAUCCUGAAUUUAGUUUUAUCUGAACUAAGAGGACUACCUGUGCUUCUCUAACAAAGAAUUACUCAUUUGGUGCUCUUUUGCACUGUUGAUUUUAGUU